rnacentral:rRNA from 1 species
CUACGGGACGCAGCAGUGGGGAAUAUUGCGCAAUGGGGGAAACCCUGACGCAGCAACGCCGCGUGAGUGAUGAAGGCUUUCGGGUCGUAAAGCUCUGUCAGGCGGGAAGAACAAGCUGGUUCCGAAUAAGGAUUGGCUUUGACGGUACCGCCAGAGGAAGCACCGGCUAACUCCGUGCCAGCAGCCGCGGUAAUACGGAGGGUGCAAGCGUUGUUCGGAAUUAUUGGGCGUAAAGCGCGUGUAGGCGGCUUGGUAAGUCAGGUGUGAAAGCCCUUGGCUCAACCAAGGAAUGUCAUCUGAAACUGCCAGGCUUGAGUACGGGAGAGGAGAGUGGAAUUCCCGGUGUAGAGGUGAAAUUCGUAGAUAUCGGGAGGAACACCCGUGGCGAAGGCGACUCUCUGGACCGAUACUGACGCUGAGACGCGAAAGCGUGGGGAGCAAACAGGAUUAGAUACCCGCGUAGUC